GUUCUCUCUCCUUUGUCUUGGUACAGCUCAGUUUAUGGAGAGAGCGCAAGAAAACAGAAGAGAGGAAAGUCCGUUGUGCUUCUACAUUUAGGUUUUACUAAGGCUGCAUGGAGAUGGAGGCUUCGGGUCACCCCCUCUUGUCAUCCGAGUGCUCGCAAAACUCAGUGGCUGCCCUGGCCUCUGGGGCAAUUUCCAGGCCUACCUACUUUUAACCACUCAGAACUCAGGGAGCAAACAAUUUUGCGACCCCCCCCCCCCCACUUACAAUCCUGCUCCGGGAGGCAAUUCCUGCCCCUCCCCUCCCAUUGUCACAGCAGUUCCUGUUUAUCGUGGGUGACAUCUUCAGCUUCAACGCAGCGUGAGCCCUGCCAUGUUGGAACUGUUCUUCGAGCCUCAGCCUUUUCGAUUAAAGCCGCUUCAUGAAUAACGAAGGAUAAAUAAAGUCAAUGUCGCCCUUUUCUCAGAGG
rnacentral:lncRNA from 9 species